rnacentral:tRNA from 2 species
GCCGCAGUGGCGGAAUUGGUAGACGCGCUAGACUCAAAAUCUUGUGAGCUUAUGCUCGUGCCGGUUCAAGUCCGGCCUGCGGUACCA